rnacentral:rRNA from 1 species
AUGAUGAGGAGGAUGGCAAGAGCGACGCAGCUGAUGAUCGUGAUGGGAACCAUGAAAACGAUGAAGCAAAAGACAUCUAUGAGGAGGAUGGUGGCUUCGAUGAUACAGCCAGUAAUGUUGAUGACGAUGGUCACAGUGAAGAAGAUGCUGCUCACGAAGAUGAAGAUGACAAAUGCAAAAGUGAAGAGCUCUUUGAGUCCUCUUGGGACUCGGACGAGGACAACUUCAUCGACCUACAUGAAAGUUCCGAAAGCAUGUCACGGGAUUACAAGAUCAUAG